rnacentral:ncRNA from 1 species
GUGUGCAUGAACCGGUGUUCGUUGUCCUUGAUCGUCCCGCAUCCAACUCUGCCUCCCCGUGCUAGGGAUGGUCCAGAGAGAUGCCAGAUGCAUUGAGGCUUCGUUCUGAAAUUAUACGGUCCGAACUUGAUCUGGAUAAUACCAGCGAAAGGAUCAUGCUUCCCCCUCCC